AUUACACUCUGUGUAUUGAACCAACAACACAACCUACACGAGAACAAACAAUAGAGUCUACACAAACCAGCAUAGUGUCAAAGAAACACUCUACUAACAGCAGUGAUGACCCAUGGAACAUUAGAUAUUUCCCACUGGUCGGUGUUGUUCUCUCAGCAGCUGUAAUUUACUUAGUUGUGGGUGUAGCGCUCAUCUGUGCUCAGAGGAAAACGCAAAACUACAGACCAACUAAACCAAAAAGUACAAAACUUAUUUUUUCCUCAGUCACUUGCUCGGAUGAAGAAGGUGAGCACGAAGUAACAUAUGCUAAUCUAGAGGUCAUGAAACAGCAGGAG
ensembl:lncRNA